UACGUAGGGCGCAAGCGUUAUCCGGAAUUAUUGGGCGUAAAGAGCUCGUAGGCGGUUUGUCGCGUCUGCUGUGAAAGUCCGGGGCUCAACUCCGGAUCUGCGGUGGGUACGGGCAGACUAGAGUGAUGUAGGGGAGACUGGAAUUCCUGGUGUAGCGGUGAAAUGCGCAGAUAUCAGGAGGAACACCGAUGGCGAAGGCAGGUCUCUGGGCAGUAACUGACGCUGAGGAGCGAAAGCAUGGGGAGCGAACAGG
rnacentral:rRNA from 1 species